rnacentral:rRNA from 1 species
CAGGCCUAACACAUGCAAGUCGAACGAAGGCUUCGGCCUUAGUGGCGCACGGGUGCGUAACGCGUGGGAAUCUGCCCAAAGGUACGGAAUAACUCGGGGAAACUCGUGCUAAUACCGUAUGAUGUCGCAAGACCAAAGAUUUAUCGCCUUUGGAUGAGCCCGCGUAGGAUUAGCUAGUUGGUGGGGUAAAGGCCUACCAAGGCGACGAUCCUUAGCUGGUCUGAGAGGAUGAUCAGCCACACUGGGACUGAGACACGGCCCAGACUCCUACGGGAGGCAGCAGUGGGGAAUAUUGGACAAUGGGCGAAAGCCUGAUCCAGCAAUGCCGCGUGAGUGAUGAAGGCCUUAGGGUUGUAAAGCUCUUUUACCCGGGAAGAUAAUGACUGUACCGGGAGAAUAAGCUCCGGCUAACUCCGUGCCAGCAGCCGCGGUAAU